GAUUAUUUGGAUAUCUAAGAGAACUGAAGCAUUUCGUGCAACAGCUUGUACCAUUUUGGUAUCAAAAGAUGAAAAACCUUCAGUUCUCUUAGAUAUCCAAAUAAUCAGACGUUAAUCAACAUAAAUUGCUUCCCUUACAAAUGGAAACACAAAAAGGUGCCAAGGGAAAUGCAAUUUGAAAAUGCUUGAACAAUUGAAAGAAUCGCAAAUUCAGAUUCAGUAUUCAAUUGUAUUAGAUAGCACAGUUCUCUACACAGCAAAAU
rnacentral:misc_RNA from 1 species